rnacentral:rRNA from 1 species
GUGAAUCAUCGAAUCUUUGAACGCACCUUGCGCUCCUUGGUAUUCCGAGGAGCAUGCCUGUUUGAGUGUCAUUAAUAUAUCAACCUCUUCAGCUUUUGCUUUGUUGAGUUGUUGGAUGUUGGGGGUCAUUUUUUUGGCAGGUUCUUUCGUCAGAUCAGCUCCCCUGAAAUACAUUAGCGGAACAAUUUGUGGACCGUUCAUUGGUGUGAUAACUAUCUACGCUAUUGACGUGAAGCAGUUCAGCUUCUAACAGUCCAUUGACUUGGACAAAAUUUUUAUUAAUGUGACCUCAAAUCAGGUAGGACUACCCGCUGAACUUAAGCAUAUCAAUAAGCGGAGG